rnacentral:rRNA from 1 species
UACGUAGGGUGCGAGCGUUGUCCGGAAUUAUUGGGCGUAAAGAGCUCGUAGGCGGUCUGUCGCGUCGAUCGUGAAAACUUGGGGCUUAACCCUGAGCUUGCGGUCGAUACGGGCAUGACUGGAGUUCGGCAGGGGAGACUGGAAUUCCUGGUGUAGCGGUGAAAUGCGCAGAUAUCAGGAGGAACACCGAUUGCGAAGGCAGCUCGCUGGAACGUUACUGACGCUGAGACGCGAAAGCAUGGGGAGCGAACAGG